rnacentral:lncRNA from 1 species
GAAAAUUUGCGUCUCUUAAAUUGUUCUUGCAGAGAGUGACAACCCCAGGUGUCCCGCUUGCCGCAGUCCUCCUUGUCAUUGUUGAAAGUAUAUGGGGUUUUGUCCCAUUUAAUUUUUCAUUCCUCAAAAGUCAUGUAGACGCAUUACAGCUGGUUGCCUGGCAUCAGCAAAUUGUAGUCUCGCACAUGUACUAGAGUGGAGGAGGAAUGAGACCAUUGUAAUAAGGGACUCUCUCUCUCUCUCUCUCUCUCUCUCUCUCUCUCUCUCUCUCUCUCUCUCUCUCUCUCUCUCUCGUCGUUAGAGCAUGAUAAGAGGACUAGUACAGGCGCACCUUCUCCGCCGCCACACCGCACUACUCGCCUACAUCUUCGAUUCCUGGCGACUUAUUCAAACCUAUAAUAAGAAUGCUCCUCGGUGUGAUAGCAAUAUUGUUAGCCACCCAGGAGCAUGUGCUUCAUCAUUUUCCAAUUUGCAUCCUUUAUGUCAUUGUUAGGUUUUUGUGCUGUGUAACGACUACAUGCCUGGCAAUUUGAUACAUCAUUACGUUGUGCAUGGAACGUUGCCCUGCAGCAAACGAUGAUCUCACAUGUGUGACCAGGCUCCUUGUAUAAAUGGCAAAUGUAAAAGAGGCUCCAAUUACCACACGGUUUGUGUGGUAAUCAAUCCUAGACCAAUGAUAUCAACAAUCAAAGAGGCUCGGAUUCGCUAAAUUCUCGAAACAGGCUCUUGCAUCGCCAUAUAGAUAAAUAACACACCAAGGUACACAGUCAAAUGAUACAAGGUAGUGAGAAAGCCCUCUUACAUAGUAGAUCCCGAGAUAACCGCACAACAUAAACGCACGUGACUACGUCACGGAAAGAUAACAUUGGAAGGCCUGAACACAACACAACGACAUGACUUGGGACACCUAACCUCCAAAUGCCCUCAGCAGGAGGAACAGUGCAAAGCGUCACCGUUGUCGAGUCUGAAAUGAACAAGGGUCUUCUCCGGGAAGAUAGCGUGGAGAGGGGAACCACAAUGACGUCCUCAAUAGGAAAUAGGAAAGCAGCACACGCAGGCAUCACAGCCUUCGGCGCCAAAGCACGGAGCUUUCGCUCGACAGCUCACUCGUAUCACCACGAAGCACCCAGGACCACCACGUCUACUACAAGCCCUCUAGAUCCACAUCUGGGCAUUGCAACUCCCAGUGAUAGAGAGCGAGUUUGAGCCACCCGCUUCCAUACCCCUCGCCUCCUAGAUGACCACGAGGCAUGGCCACUGCCAUGGAGCCUGCUGGAUAGACAACCAUGCAAACUGUCAUUCGAGGCCACCGCCCUGGCUGUCAUGUCCCGAGACACCGCCAUCAGUCCACAUUGUAACGCACCCACUUUGGAAGGAAGAGCAUAAGGCAUCUCCUUCCACUCCUAGAUCGACAUAGUCCAUCAGGUCUGGGUCAACGCCUCCACGGAAGGAAGCAUCCACGCCUCCAUUCCCAGCUAGUUCUGGUGUUAGGGGCCGAAACCCAGUGCCUACCGAACACCACCGUCGAGCAAGCCUAGGCUAGCUCGCACGUCGUCAUGCCAGUGGCCAUCCGCGACGAUGUGGCCGAUGGCAUUGUAACGUUAGGAGAUCCCAGCUCGGACUAAUGCCAAAACGGAGCAGUAUGCAAUGAGAUCACAAGGCGAAGGGUUGCACUCGCGUAGACCAAGUCGACCCUCUAUACUCGCCCGCCGCCGGACGUCGUCUACCACAACGGACCAGAUUACGCCACCAGUCGAAGCUAGCCCCCACCAAGGCACGCAAAAAUGCCAUUGAUGCGGAUCGCACCACCGCUAAACGACCAAGCAGCUGUGCAACCCCAUCACCGCCAUGGGUACCCCGAGCAGUGUCACCCCGUAGGAUCCACGAUGGAUCCACGCCGAUGCCACAAGCCAGCCCGUGUCGCCAGGUGGCACCGGAUGGCAAAUCUGGGUGGAACCCAAAUCGCCACCGCACUAACACCCGCACCAUAGGCCCAAUGAAGCGCCGCCAUCAUGAACCAAGCCUGUAGCGUAGUGCAACCCGUCGGGCCAAGGCCACCGCCACUGUUCGUUGGCCCCGCCACUGACUGCCGAUCCGUGCGUGCAUCCGCUAACGGGACAUUAUAUCGGGGGUGGACCAUUGAUCCGGAAGGCCCACACUGGCUGGCCUCACGGCCCGGAUGCUUGGCUGCGACCUAAUCCCAACAAUGUGUCCAGAGCCUGUCUUGAAGAUAUUGCAUGAUCUUGUUGUACAAGCCAAAAUGCCCUCGUGAAAGGUCGGUUAGGAACCCUGUAAGCCCAAGCUCUCAUCCCCUUAGGCCAUGCUAGGGGUAGUUCGAGCCAUCUGUUCCAUUAUACAUAUACCUCGGUAGUAUUCAUCAUCCUCCACUCGUAACGCCCUCGCACGAGGUGCUCCCACAUCAAUCCAAAACAAAGCAGGAGUGAGGUAAUACCUAGACCAUGAGGGCCCGAACCUGGUUAAAACCCCUUGGGAACUCUCCUCUGGUACUCCGGCUAUGCUCUCCACCCUAUUGAGGGCACUGACAGUUUUCCGCACCCUAAGUUGGCGCACCAAUUAGGGGCUGCGUCAAACACAGACUGGGCCCAGAUUGGAUAUGUAGUCAUGCCCGACGAUUUCAUGCCAGGACAAACUUUCGUCUUGGUCUCCUUGAUGUUCAUCACCGAUGGGAGUGGGCUGCUCUAUGAUGGCACGCCACCCUCUCCCAUCAGCACCAUGCACUUAGGAAGCCUCAUGUUCCUCUUCAACCAACACGGGACACUGUGUGCCUCUGUGUCCCUCCAUCGCCCUUGACACGGUUGGCAGCGCCGACCCUAGACAACUCCAAAGCGGCUAGAUCUUCAUCAACUCACCAGCCUUCCCGACCGCAAGGAGUGCACAUGAUCUUCCAUGCUACCAAUACAUGGCGAGCCUAGAAGCUCGCGAGACGUGCAGUUUAUGCAAAUGCACCGACUCACAUGGAAUACAUAGAGUGGUCGGACUCCACCAUCGUUUUCGAACGUGCCAAUCACCGGACUACAUCCCACAUCUAGGGAAAUCUUCCCUGGUGCUCGACCCGAUCCUUGGCGACUUCUACCUUCUGCAAGCCUUUAUAGGCGGUGGAGGGAAUGUCCAAAUCACUCCUGAGACCCACGCCCACCGGCUUCCACGGGUUUGUGCCAGGCAUGAAGGUGCAACCCCUAGGACAAAUCUACCUGGAAGUGAUCUUGGGAGCUGAGGAAAACUUAUGCUGGGAGACAAUGUGCUUUGAGGUUAUGCUGUUUCGCACGGGCUACAUCGCUAUACUUGGUAGGCCCGCUUAUGUCAAGUUCAUGUUGCUACCCUCAUACGCGUGAAGAUGUCAGGACUAAAUGGCAUCAUCACCAUACACGAUAGUGCCGAGAGGGCGCUCGAAGUGGAGGUCACCAAUGUAGAGCUUGCAGAGGCCGCACUAGCUUCCGUGGAACUCGAGAAGAUCAAGAGGUCCUUCGACCCAUCCAUCACAACACUGUCCCGCAAGACCAACUCUAGACCGGCUUUCCAACCGGUUAAAGAGACAAGAAAUUCCAAGUGCAGCCAGAAGACAUGAGAAAGACGAUGAUCAUGGGAGGAGACCUGUGCCGGGAAGAGGAGGUCGUCCUCCUACAAUUCCUUAUGAACAAUUCUGACAUAUUCUCUUGGAAGCCUGCUAACAUGCCUGAGGUUCCUACAUCACUAGUAGAAAACAUGGCUUUGGUCCAAGCUCAAUGCACCCUUUAGUCCUGGUUGUAUUACAAACCGGGACUAAUGUGAGCAUUGGUCCCGGUUCGAGCGGCUAGGGCAUCGGGAAGGCAUUAGUCUCGGUUCAAAUGGGACCUUUAGUCCCGAUUUGAGACACGAACCGGGACUAAAGGGUGCGAUGCCCUUUAGUCCCGAUUCGUGUCUCAAACCGGGACUAAAGGGGUUCAAACUCUACCCCCCGCGCGUCCGUAUCGCCAUUUCAGUUUUCAAAAAAACAAAAGAAAAUGAUAAGAACUAAAAAAAUUAAAAUCCUUCGGGAUGUAGUUAUGUUACUACAUGUACUAGUUAGCAAAAUUUAAAAACUUAAAUUUGGACAUGUUUUGCAAAAAAGUGUUAUGAAAAAGUAAAACGACUAUAUCUUUUGCAUACGAUGUCGAAAAAAGUAUAAUAUAUCAAAAUGUUCAGCACGAAAAUCCGCAUCCGAUUUUGACGCCGUAGGCCGUUUUGCAAAUUUUUAGAAUCCUCAAAUUCUAAAAGAAAAACAAGUUAUGCUCAAAUUUCAGUUUUUUUGAAUUUUGGUUAAAUCUAGUCAAACUACUUAUUCAAGAAGUAUUAGUGUUACUACAUAAUUAUUCAAGAAUAUUAGUGUUACUAAAUAAUUAUUUCAGUUUUUUUGAAUUUUGGUCAAAUCUGGUCAAACUGUGGUCAAUUAUGGUCAAACUACUUAUUCAAGAAAUAUUAGUGUUACUAAAUAUUUUUUUUAGAAUAAUAGUUUCAAACUCAAACAGUGAAACGUGUGACUUCAUGCUCAAGCUAAACUCCUGAGGGUUAAUAGGAUUGACAUCUUACUAUUGUCAGGAAAACAACAAGUGCCGACUUGGAAAAUAGGGGGAAUCGAACUCGGAAGUUAAGCGUGCUCAGGCUGGAGUAGUGACAGCAUGGGUGACCGGCCGGGAAGUUAGACGAUUUGGAAUGAUGAGGGAUGAUUAGAGAAUAGAGAUUAUAGAUUAAAUUGAGCAGUGAUGAGGGGUGAUUAGAGAUUAAAUUGUCAAAUAAUUUAGAAAUUUAAAAAUCAGGAAAAAAAUUAAAAAAAAUUCCUUUAGUGGGUGCCCGAAACCUUCAUGCCCAGCAGUCUCCGGAGAACCUCUGGCCAGCCGUCGGGCUUACCAAAAGGGUGACAACCUAGGUUGAAAUGUUUCAGUUGACCCUACAGCCUGCCCAUCCGCAGUUAGCCUGGAACCUUCAUGGCAGCACCAAGCCUCCGGGGUGCACAUAAUCUGGGCAUAACAGUUCGAGUUUUGGGGAACCUAUUUAAAGCCUUCUUCUUCCUCCUUAAGAAGGUGACAUAUUGAAUAUUCCGUUUUCAAAGUUGUGUUUUCAUGUGAAGUCAAAUCUUCUUAUCCUAUAUCCUGUAUACACAAAAGAGUAAUCCCCUACUUCUAAUUGUCUUAACAUGUGUGAUUCCACACCAUCUUAAAAAUUAUAGUCAUUGGAUUUAGGUUACUAGCUUGAUUCACUAGCGUCCAUCUGAUCUACGCCGGAGAAUCUUCUACCAUGCAACAUGCAUUAGUGCAUUUUAAGUGGGUUUUAAAUCACAAUGCAUUUAAUUGUGACAUUAUUAACUUUUUAUGUUAAGCUUUUUUCUUAUGCAGAAAUUUCUCACUUGGUUUAAAUCGUAACGACCGAAUUAGUAUUCUGCACAAUAUUUACAAACUAUACAUCCACCUCCGCGUCAACACGCGGGAUAUCAUCUAGUAUCUCUUGUAUGUAUUCCAUUUUUAUUUUUCUCCAUGUUUUUUGUUCUGGAAUACCCGGAGCGUACAUGGUAUUUCAAGCGUACAGGAGGUCUCACAUAAUCCCUGUCGGCAGCACAAUGAUUCUUCAACGUCUGCAAUAGAAUGAUGAGGUGCAGCGACUCCUUAACCACUCUCGUGGUGCAUGUCUACUGCUCGAAGCAGUGAAGUUCGGCCUGUCUCCACUUUCAAAAGUCAAGCAAAGCUGCCAAUUGAAAGGGCAAGUAGAGCGUGUCUGCGUCCAUGCCAGCUGCCAGCAACAACCAUCCAAUGAACCAAAAGCCAAGUUGUGGGUGCGUUCAACAGGGUGAUAAAUCCUUUAUAUAGAGAGAGACGAAGCAGCAGGGUGACAAUACAAAGAGAAAGAGAGUGGUGUGUGCAACAGCCUUCAGUUUACCAUGGCUUCGAGGUGCCACAUGAAAAUGUUUCUUCUGCUCCUUAUACUGGAGAUCGUUCUGCUCAUUACCAUGCCUUCUGGAGGGCUGGCGGGUCCGAGUGUGACACAGAGAAACAGUAAGUACUUUGGCCUUUCAUUGUUGCAGAUCCGACCACAGAUUUAUUACAAAAUACCUAGUACUCCUUCUGAAAUCAAAGAUAACAAAAAAUUUAAAAAGGGCUUGACAAUUGAUAUAUCAAGAAAAUGGAUAGAAGUUCAAGUUACUGUUACAUGUUCUCUUUCUCAUGCAUUAUUCAAAUGUUAGUAAUAUUGAUUGGAGGAUUAAAUGGCCGGAAAGCUUGUGGCUCCAAACGAAGAUGAUUCUCGACAAAAUUCUCCCCCGCUUUUGGUAAACCCACAAAACAAUAUGUAAAAUAUAUGGCUAGUCAGACCAAAAAUUGGCAGUGAAAUAAUUAAAGACUAAUUAUAGCUUCCCUCUGUCUUGUGUUUCCAGAAUUUGCAUCUCAUAAUUUGUUCUUGCAGAUAGUGACAACCCCAACUGCCCCCCUUGCUACAGACCUCCUUGUCGUCAUUGUUGAAAGUAUAUGGGGUUUUGCCCCAUUUAAUUUUCAUUCCUCAAAAGACACAUAUGGAGUGAAGGAGAAAUGAGACCAACAUAUAAGGGACUCUCUCUCACACACACUCCUCAUUAGAGCAUGAUAAGAGGACUAGUAGUGGCGUGCCUUCUCCGCAGCCACACCGCACCGCUCGCCUACAUCUUCGAUUCCUGGCGACUUAUUCAAACCUAUAAUAAGAAUGCUCCUUGGUGCGAUAGCAACAUUGUAAGCCAUCCAGGAGCAUGUGCUUCAUCGUUUUCCAAUUUGCAUCCUUUAUGUCGUUGCUAUGUUUUUGUGCUGUGUAAAGUCUACUUGCCUGGCAAUUUGAUACAUCAUUUCGUUGUGCAUGAAACGUUGCCCUGCAGCAAACGAUGAUCUCACAUGUGUGACCAGGCUCCUUGUAUAAAUGGGAAAUGUAAAAGAGGCUCCAAUUACCACACGGUCAGUGUGGUAAUCAAUCCUACACCAAUGAUAUCAACAUUGAAAGAGGCUCAGAUUCACUAAAUUCUCGAAGCAGGCUCUUAGCACACACCAAGGUACACAGUCAAAUGAUACAAGGUAGUGAUGAAGCCCUCUUACAAAGUAGAUCCUGAGAUAACCGUGCAACAUAGACAUAUGCGGCUACGUUGCCGAAAGAUAACACUGGAAGGCCUGAACACAACACGACGACAUGACCUGGGACACCAAACCUCCAAACGCCCUCAGGACGAGGAACAACGGAAAGCGU